GCCUGGGUGGCUCAGUCAGUUAAGCGUCUGACUUCAGCCUAGGUCAUGAUCUCACGAUUUGUGGGUUCAAGCCCCACAUCAGGUU
rfam:Felis catus isolate Cinnamon breed Abyssinian chromosome E1, whole genome shotgun sequence.